rnacentral:tRNA from 1 species
GCCUUGUUGGCUAAGUGGUAUAGCGUCUCACUAGUAUCCUAGUGAUAUGAGAAGAUCGGCGGUUCGAUUCCGCCACGAGGCA